rnacentral:rRNA from 1 species
AUGAUCACUCACUGCUUUUUCCUUGCUAUGCUUGCAAUAGGAAAACCACCUACUUUUUUCUCCAAAUAUAAAGCAAAAACUACGGAUGGAUGGAUCUGUCAGUCAUUGAUUGGGUUUCUACAACAUAAACAAGAUGGAAGAGCAGGAGUGAAAUUGCAAUCAGAAGCUUCGAAAAUUCAACAAGAUUCUGGGCAGGCAUCAUCAAACGGUGGAAAUCUCUUCUCUCCCAACAAACAAAUAAAAACACACGCACGCCCAGCUCGCUCUCAAAUCCACUACCACCUAUUCUCCGCUCGGAAUAAUAAAUAA